UUUAAUAUUCUUUAGGAAUUGCUACGACAAAGGGAGCAACUACAGAGAACUGAAAAACAUCUGGAUGAUAUCAACAGCUCACUUAGCUUCAGUCGAAAGCACAUUCAGGGUAUCAAGAGUGUUUUUGGAUCAUUGAAGAAUUAUCUUAGUGGGACAAAAUCAAGUGAACCACAAGGAAGCAGAUACAAGCCUGAUUCACCUGUUUCAAAUUCUGGUUCAAUGCUUGUGGUAGCCGCAGAAAUGUCGAAGCCAUGUACUUCCUCUCAAUCCCAAAAUCAUCUUGCUCUGGACCUGACUGAUGAGUCGAGUGAACGCUUCAGUGCAGCUGAUCCGGAGAAGGCUCUGAACAAGAAUUUGGACCAUA